rnacentral:rRNA from 1 species
GACGAACGCUGGCGGCGUGCUUAACACAUGCAAGUCGAACGGAAAGGCUCUGCUUUUUUUGUUUGCUCGAGUGGCGAACGUGUGUGUAACACGUGAGUGACCUUCCCUUGACGUUGAGAUAACUUCUGCAAACUGGUGCUAAUACCGAAUAACUGCUCCUGCUGCAUAGUAGGGGUUGUAAACUUUCGGCGGUUGGGGAUGGACUCGUGGCUUAUCAGCUUGUUGGGUCGGUAGUGGAUUACCAAGGCUUUGACGGGUAGCCGGCCUGAGAGGGUGACCGGCCACAUUGGGACUGAGCUAAGGCACAGACUACUACGGGAGGCAGCAGAGGGGAAUAGUGCACAAUGGGAGGAAGCCUGAUGCAACACCGCCGCGUGCGGGAUGACGGCCUUCGUGUUGUAAACCGCAUUCGCAUGUGAAGAAGAGUAAGUGACGGUAAUGGGUAAAGAAGCACCGGCUAACUACGUG